rnacentral:lncRNA from 1 species
GCUCCAUGUAAGAUUUCUUCCUUUCUGCCCAUUCCCCCCUCCCCGACCCCCAACCCACAGCAAAUCCACUUAGCAAGUGACUUUCAAUAUCAGUCGAAUUGCUGGGAGGGAAUUUUUCCUUUAAUGGAAAAAAAAAUCCUCUUCACACAGGUGCAAUGGCCUGCCUCAAUGAAGAAAGGCUACCUGGAUGCCCACAACAGAACCCAGUUUUGUACAAUAACCCCCUGCUGCAAUGUGAGGCUCCAGGUAAUGUGAUCCGUUUUCACACAGCCUAGUGUUAGCGUGCUGCUGCCACUCACUGUAAAGGUUACUAUCACUCUUUUAUUGUCAUUACAAAAGCUAACUGCAAAACCCGAAACCUAGCUGGGAAAUUGCCUACCUGCACAAAGAACAGAGACCCUAUCGUUUCAGGAUUCAGUUCUUUCCGAGCACUUUUAUAAAGGAGUUUUUGUCUGCCUUGUGAGGCUCCGACCACAGAGGAGCUGGAAAUCCAGGUUAGCUGUGGGCUUAGAGGGUUUCAAUGGAGGAGGUGCUCUUGGGUGUUUGCAUACAGGUGCUUUACAACUUAAGUCACAAAGUUAAUUAAAACUGCAACCCUGAUACAUUUUAGAUAAUGGGGAGGGGGAGAGGAGAAAGACAGAGGGAGAGAGGGAGAGAGAGGAGAGUUUCUGGCUGAAAGAUGUCUCCUGUUUUUGCAGAUCCUAUCAGCUUUCCUUGAAGGAGGUGUUACAGGGUGUUCAUUUUCCUGCUGUUUGCUUUCAGCACCCUCAGGCUCAAGAUCACCCUGGUCCAUGUGAGAGGCAAGACAAGAGAAGAUCAGCGGCAAAACAGGUGGAGCAGUUUGGCUGGGCCCACCUGGCUCUGUUCCGUCACAGUGGAUAUAGCAGUUUUGAAGUGAGACUAUUUACUCAGUGCAGAGAGGCAUGCCCCACCAGAGGGAACAUCACCAGGCCUCCCUGCACAGUUAGUUCUUCCUGAACGUCUUUAGCAAGAUUACACCUGGCACACAGACGCUAUCUACUUGCUGCAUUCUUUACAAACCCACUGGUGGGCAGAGCAGUAAGAUGACUGGCCACCAUCCAGAUGGUUAACAAUAAAAGCAAUUAUUAUGCAGCCAUUAAUCUUGUCAAUUACAUUUUAACCCAGGCAGUGUGUAAACGGAAGCUCUAUCUGCUUCUAUAUUUUUCCUUUUCUUUCUCUGCCUCCUUUUCCCCCAGAAAAUAAAAAGUGAUUGCAUGCUAUCAUUUUCUCAACAUCAUCAC